AAGGACUACAUAAUAGACCAUUCCUGACAGGUGUUUGUCUAACCAGUUCUUAAAAACCUCCAAAGAUGCAGAUUCCACAAUCUCCAAAGGCAAUUUGUUCAGUGCUUAACUACCUUGACAGUUAGGAAUUGUUUCCUAAUGUCCCAG